UGAUGAUGGUCAGGUAUCCAACGGCGAUGGCUGUCAUACAUGGCUGAUGCACGAUGUCAUUGUCCAUCAGCCCAACCAUAACUAGAGUAAAGUUUAGCCAGCCCUGCAUCAUCUUCUGGUUGUUUUUGUGUUUUUAAGUGGUUGGAUUCAAUAAAAGAGCUGAGCGCCCAAAAAAUAUGGUGGACACAAGAAAGACAUGUUGCUGGAUUCUUAAGGUAACCACUUCUCUUGGUUGGUUAUGAAGAAGGAGCAUAUCAAUAUAUAAAUAUACACAAAUAUUUGUUUUGAAAUUCAGUUCUGUUGUUAACCUGGUUCUUGAAAAAAUAUGUCCAUAGCUACCGCAAGAAUUGCUGCAGAGCAUUCUUUUGGAGGUAGUUCUUGACGCUGGAGACAUGGCAUAUUUGACGCUUUCUCUGGUUUGUUGGAAAGUAAGAAAUACCGUCAGCCAGGACGCUUUCCGGAAAAAGGCACACUUUUUGUGGAUAUUGAGUGUGGACACAAAUUGGUUUCACCAUUCCGAGUCCUAUCGCGAGGAAAUGUCCACCAUGUUUUGCAUUUCGUCUUGUCAGUUUUGCAGAAUGCAAUUCAAAGAUUGUUCAGGAUACGUAGGACAUGGGAAAAGAGGUG